rnacentral:rRNA from 1 species
AUUGAACGCUGGCGGCAUGCCUUACACAUGCAAGUCGAACGGCAGCACGGGGCAACCUGGUGGCGAGUGGCGAACGGGUGAGUAAUGCAUCGGAACGUACCUUUCAGUGGGGGAUAACGUAGCGAAAGUUACGCUAAUACCGCAUAUUCUGUGAGCGGGAAAGCAGGGGAUCGCAAGACCUUGCGCUGAUUGAGCGGCCGAUGUCAGAUUAGCUAGUUGGUGAGGUAAAGGCUCACCAAGGCGACGAUCUGUAGCGGGUCUGAGAGGAUGAUCCGCCACACUGCACCUGAGACACGGUCCCGACUCCUACGGGAGGCAGCAGCGGGGAAUUUUGGACAAUGGGGGCAACCCUGAUCCAGCCAUGCCGCGUGAGUGAAGAAGGCCUUCGGGUUGUAAAGCUCUUUCGCCCGGGAAGAAAUCGCACGGGCUAAUACCCUGUGUGGAUGACGGUACCGGAAUAAGAAGCACCGGCUAACUACGUGCCAGCCGCCGCCGUAA